rnacentral:rRNA from 1 species
CACGUAGGGGGCGAGCGUUGUCCGGAUUUAUUGGGCGUAAAGAGCUCGUAGGCGGCUCGGUAAGUCAGGUGUGAAAACUCUAGGCUCAACCUAGAGACGCCACCUGAUACUGCUGUGGCUAGAGUCCGGUAGGGGAGCAUGGAAUUCCUGGUGUAGCGGUGAAAUGCGCAGAUAUCAGGAGGACCACCAGUGGCGAAGGCGGUGCUCUGGGCCGGAACUGACGCUGAGGAGCGAAAGCGUGGGGAGCAAACAGG